AAAUUGAAGAGUUUGAUCAUGGCUCAGAUUGAACGCUGGCGGCAGGCCUAACACAUGCAAGUCGAGCGGUAGCACAGAGAACUUGCUCUCGGGUGACGAGCGGCGGACGGGUGAGUAAUGUCUGGGAAACUGCCUGAUGGAGGGGGAUAACUACUGGAAACGGUAGCUAAUACCGCAUAAUGUCGCAAGACCAAAGUGGGGGACCUUCGGGCCUCAUGCCAUCAGAUGUGCCCAGAUGGGAUUAGCUAGUAGGUGGGGUAACGGCUCACCUAGGCGACGAUCCCUAGCUGGUCUGAGAGGAUGA
rnacentral:rRNA from 1 species